rnacentral:rRNA from 1 species
UACAGAGGUGCUCAAGCGUUGUUCGGAUUCAUUGGGCGUAAAGGGUGCGUAGGCGGCGCGGUAAGUCGGGUGUGAAAUCCUCGGGGCUUAACUCCGAAACUGCAUUCGAUACUGCCGUGCUUGAGGACUGGAGAGGAGGGACGUGGAAUUUACGGUGUAGCGGUGAAAUGCGUAGAUAUCGUAAGGAAGACCAGUGGCGAAGGCGGGUCUCUGGACAAGUCCUGACACUGAGGCACGAAGGCCAGGGGAGGCAAAACGGGG